UAGCCCUGGGCGGAGGAGAAAAAAAAACAGCCAAGUAUAGCGCUUGUUAACUUAGCUGACGUGUUGGUUGGAGUAUCUACGAGUACUUCCAGGUUGAAAAGGAGUCACGUCGCAGCUGGCAAGUCGUCAAGAAAACUGUCCAGCCUCCAGAUUUGUGUGAUCCUCCCAACGUGAUCCUGCGUUUCCUCUGUUCUCCCUGGUAGAUUUCUGCAGGAAGCCUUUAACAAUGGGACCCCUCCACAGGGUCUGAAACCCAGCUAUGAUUUCGGAGCCAGUGUCUCCAAUUGGUUUAUUACCCAGGAGCUGUGAUCAGUGUUGACAGAGUCAAAUGUCGAGACCCUGUGCUGGCCCUCUGUAGAGUGAAACAACGCUCCAGGUCCUGUCAGCAACACAGAGAAGGGAGAAAGAGCCCCAGAAAGGAGACGACUGAAGAGACCUCUAAUUGCUGUCCACAUGUGUCAGAUUGAUGUUUUUGCCUGCCCACGGGGGAUGGAAAGGUGACUUUGAAGAUAGUGUGCCAAUUUCUACUCACAUGUUCCCAUGGAGGCAUCAAUCAUCAGAUUCUGAAUUGGGAAUUAAGAAGAAAGGGAUCGACCAGCUUAAACUUUUUUGCAAUACACGCCCUCCUCUAAUUACCCUGACUUCAUUGAGCAGUCUAAUAGAAAAGAGAGUAAAAAAAAGAAUCUAAAACGCAUUUCUAUCAAUUCCAAGUCUACGAAAAGGCCAAAUCGUUGUGGCUGCGACAGAGUUUAAAUUCGAAGGAUAGUGUACCAUGAGCCCUAAUGGCCUGAGACAAUGCUAUGUCUAAUACCCAGGGAAUAAAGCACAGAUGCACAUAUGACAUUGGCUUCCAUCUGUUUUUUAUUAUGAGGCAUGUCCUGUUUGUUGACAGCUGUCUAAACAUUUGUUA